UACAGGGGGGGCAAGCGUUGUUCGGAAUUACUGGGCGUAAAGGGCUCGUAGGUGGCCAACUAAGUCAGACGUGAAAUCCCCAGGCUCAACUUGGGAACUGCGUCUGAUACUGGAUGGCUUGAAUUCGGGAGAGGGAUGCAGAAUUCCAGGUGUAGCGGUGAAAUGCGUAGAUAUCUGGAGGAAUACCGGUGGCGAAGGCGGCAUCCUGGACCGAGAUUGACACUGAUGAGCGAAAGCCAGGGGAGCAAACGGG
rnacentral:rRNA from 1 species